CAGUCCUGUUCAGGGGAACUGGGCAGCAUCCCUCAAGGACCUUUCCCAUCUCAAAACAAACCAAUGAAAAAGCUGUCCCCAGGUUGCCUUGACUCCUGGGCGCUACUUCUAGAACAAUCAGAUGCCUCCUUGCACCUGACCGUACUGCUUUACUGUGCGAGGCAGAAAGAGAAUUAGGGGGAGCCUGAAAGGUCUGGAGCCAUAAGGAGAGGGGUGUGUGGUCCUGUGCUGGGGCUCGGGCUCGGGCUUGGGCUCGGGCUCGAGCUGGUGGCUGCCUUCCCUGCAGAGCAAGGAGAGACAGAGCCCAAGACAAGUGGCUGCUGCCCACUCACGAGGUGAAAAUCCCCAGGUACUGGAGAGCAGAAGAAAGGCAACAGUAAUCAGCUGUAGGCUUCAGAAAAGUCAAGGCAGGAGGGCACAGCCCAUGGAAAUGGCAAGCAAAAACUUCGAAGGCUCAGAACCAGCAGUCCAGCACCGACACUCUGACCUUCACCCUCUGUGUCAGCACCCAGGGGAGUCUUCCAGAGGAAACUGACGCUCACCAAGAGGAAAUGUAAAGAGACAGCUUUGCCAUUCCUCAGCCAAGACCCCAGUCAGUCUCUCCAGAGGGAAGCCCCAGCACAAGCCCACCCAGCCCCAAGCUGCCUCCCUCGAGCUCAUUUGAGCCCUUCAGACAACCCUGAAGAGAAAACCCAACAAGACAACCACCAGGGUAGGGGCAGGUGAGGGGGGAUCUUUGAAGAAACAGACUUAGGCAAGGAGGAGAAAAUAUCAGAAAUAGCCGUAUUUAAUAUCCUCGAAGAGAUCAGAGGAGAUAUUGCAUCCCAGAACCAAGAGCAGGAUGCUAUUUUAAGGAGAACAUUUAGAGAACAAAAAGGGCUGGGAAAUUAAAAGCAUGAGAGCCGAAACAAAAAAAAAAAAAACUCAACAGACUGGUUGGAAGAUAAAAGUAAGCGAAUGUCCCAGAAGGCACAGCAAAAAGACAAAGAGGAAAAAAGAAAGAAAGGAGGAAAAAUUAGAUGCCACAUUCAAACUACACAAAAGAAUUCUGGGGCGGCGGGCUGGGGGUGAAUGAGAAUCACAAACUAUUUAAUUCAAGAAAUGUUCCCAGAAAUGAGAAUGAGUUUUCAAAUUCUACACACAAUGGAUGGAAAUUGACCCACAUCAAGGCAUAUUAUAAUAGAAAAUAGAGAAAGUUCCCUCAGGUUUCCAAGCACUAUGAAAAAGAGCAAGGGUGAGAGUGACUCCUGAAUUUUCAACAGCAACAGCAGGGCAAGCUAACAAACAACACAGUAUGCCUUCAAAACGCCAACAGAUAGUGAUUUCUGGCCUAGAAUCUUUUACUUAAUCAAAACGACAAUAAAAUGUGAAUUAAAAUAAAGACGUUUGAAUAGGCAAA
rnacentral:lncRNA from 1 species